AUGGAUUGGUGCCUUCGGGAACUCUGAGACAGGUGCUGCAUGGCUGUCGUCAGCUCGUGUUGUGAAAUGUUGGGUUAAGUCCCGCAACGAGCGCAACCCUUAUCCUUUGUUGCCAGCGGUCCGGCCGGGAACUCAAAGGAGACUGCCAGUGAUAAACUGGAGGAAGGUGGGGAUGACGUCAAGUCAUCAUGGCCCUUACGAGUAGGGCUACACACGUGCUACAAUGGCGCAUACAAAGAGAAGCGACCUCGCGAGAGCAAGCGGACCUCAUAAAGUGCGUCGUAGUCCGGAUUGGAGUCUGCAACUCGACUCCAUGAAGUCGGAAUCGCUAGUAAUCGUGGAUCAGAAUGCCACGGUGAAUACGUUCCCGGGCCUUGUACACACCGCCCGUCACACCAUGGGAGUGGGUUGCAAAAGAAGUAGGUAGCUUAACCUUCGGGAGGGCGCUUACCACUUUGUGAUUCAUGACUGGGGUGAAGUCGUAACAAGGUAAGCGUAGAUGA
rnacentral:rRNA from 1 species